GAGGGUAUAGCUCAGUGGUAGAGUGUGUGCUUAGCAUGCAUGAGGUCCUGGGUUCAAUCCCCAGUAUCUCUG
rnacentral:tRNA from 1 species